CAUGAGUUCGAUUCUCAUAAGGAGCAC
rnacentral:misc_RNA from 1 species